GUCUCCGUGGCGCAAUUGGCUAGCGCGAUCGGCUGUUAACCGAAAGGUGGAGGUUCGAGCCCUCCCGGAGGUG
rnacentral:tRNA from 1 species